CGGCGGGUCUGCAGCACAGCAGAAAGGCAGUGAUGGACAGAGGCGUGUAUGUGAGCGUGGGGGAACGGGGACCUCUGUGUGGGGGUGCAGGCGGCACGAUAUGAAGAGAAACAGUGGCUGAAAAGGCAGAGCGCACAGCUAAAAAUAAUGUCACAUGGUACCUCCUGGAAGGUGACUGCAUUGCUCACGAUCCUCGCUUUCACGGUGAGACAACAAAAUCCCUGAAGAAACCAUCUAUCUGUAAGAACAGACUGACUUCUUUGAAAAAAAUAUGAAGUUUCUCAUACAAGACAAGGAGUUGAUGUCCAUUGCUUCUUGUUCUGUCACUGGAAAUCACUGAGAAGAGUCUGGCUC